rnacentral:piRNA from 1 species
UCUAUCAUCAAUAUUUACCCG